GUCCUAGCCGUAAACGGUGAGCACUAGGUGUUGGAGGCAUCGACCCCUCCAGUGCCGCAGCUAACGCAUUAAGUGCUCCGCCUGGGGAGUACGGCCGCAAGGUUGAAACUCAAAGGAAUUGACGGGGGCCCGCACAAGCGGUGGAGCAUGUGGUUUAAUUCGACGCAACGCGAAGAACCUUACCCAGGCUUGACAUGCACUGGACGGGUGUGGAAACACACCUUCCCUUCGGGGCCGGUGCACAGGUGCUGCAUGGCUGUCGU
rnacentral:rRNA from 1 species